rnacentral:lncRNA from 1 species
GGGUCCUUUGUGGAAGUCAUGGGGCAGGGUCCCCUGAGGCACCUUGAAAGUAAAGGAGAAACAGCUCUCAGGGACUCAGCUGCAAGUCAUUAGUAACUAAGCGGAACAGCUGUCUUCAGCAAAGCUUGACCUGGAUCCCAGAACUGAAACAGCGGGAGAAACAGAACUCUCACCUUCCUUAACCUGGAUCCCAGAAUUUAAACGGACUGCUUCCCCAACAGCAGGCGAUGGAGUCCCUGAGAUGCCUGCUAAAAAUACAGACCCCUGUUCACAAGGGCCAAGAGGUGGGAGCAACCCAGGUGUGUACGGAUGGAUAAAUGGAUAAGCAAAAUGUGGUCUAGCCAUGCAACGGAAUGUCCUGCAGCCUUGAACAGGAAGGAAAUCUUGACGCGCGCCGCAGCAUGGGGGAGCCGCAAUGAGGACGUUAUGCUAAGCCAGUCACAAGUGCAUGAUUCCACUCAGAGGAAGGACCCAGAGUCGUCAAAUUCAGAGACACAGAGAUGGAGAAAUUGCACUGCAGAGAAAUCUUUAAAAGCAAUUACCUAAUACUGCAGAUUGCUGAACUGUACCCACACCCAAGACUGAGCAUUGGAUCAAUCCAGAAUAUACAUCAGGUGUUCUGCAAUGUCUGCCUAAAACCAUGACUCUGCCUCCUCCAGCUGUUGCUACAUCUCACUAUGGGUUUCCUGUGACAUUUUGAGCAAGUAUGCCUCUGUGACUGGGGUUCUUACACUCCAGAAUGGAUGAGAAGCACCGUAAGUGGCUUUUAAAAUGAAUAUUCCCUGGCCCUUCAGUCGCUCUAUAGGUCAAGAAUCUGAAUUCUCAACCUGUCUAGAAGGUUCUGGUUUUAAUGGUCUGUGGGCUGCACAUUGAGAAACCUGUUCAGCGAGUGCAACAAAGGUUCCACAUGUGAGAAAGGAAGCAUCAGGUCUCUUGAGCCUGUUCUUUAAUCUGUAGGCUGCACCUUCUCUUUAAAUUCUGCUAAUAACACCAUGCGAGAAAACACCCGAGCUUGAAAAGCCCAUGUUCCAACAUAACUGUCCUUCACCACUCUGGAAAAUUAAUGGUUUGUUUCGAUUAUCCCUUUGUUAAACUCCAAAGUCAAAGAGCUCUGAAAGGCAUACGGUUAUUUUAAGUUUCAGGUGAUUUCUGUUGCCAAAUAUUUUAAAAAUUUAAAAUUGCUACGUG